UGGGGAAUUUUGGACAAUGGGCGCAAGCCUGAUCCAGCCAUGCCGCGUGCGGGAAGAAGGCCUUCGGGUUGUAAACCGCUUUUGUCAGGGAAGAAAUCUUCUGAGUUAAUACCUCGGGAGGAUGACGGUACCUGAAGAAUAAGCACCGGCUAACUACGUGCCAGCAGCCGCGGUAAUACGUAGGGUGCAAGCGUUAAUCGGAAUUACUGGGCGUAAAGCGUGCGCAGGCGGUUUUGUAAGACAGAGGUGAAAUCCCCGGGCUCAACCUGGGAACUGCCUUUGUGACUGCAAGGCUUGAGUGCGGCAGAGGGGGGAUGGAAUUCCGCGUGUAGCAGUGAAAUGCGUAGAUAUGCGGAGGAACACCGAUGGCGAAGGCAAUCCCCUGGGCCUGCACUGACGCUCAUGCACGAAAGCGUGGGGAGCAAAACAGGAUUAGAUACCCUGGUAGUCCACGCCCUAAAACGAUGUCAACUGGUU
rnacentral:rRNA from 1 species